rnacentral:lncRNA from 1 species
UUUCAAGUAUCCUCCAUGCCUGCCUAGCAAGAACAGCUAGAAUAAAGAUUUCAAAAUCUCUAAAGCCCAAGUCUCCCAGGGGGCGAAAGUCCCAUAGGCUACAAGUCAUUUAUGCAGCGAAAUUACACAAGACGUGUGCAUCCAUCCAUGACACACAUCUAGUACGACUCUAUGACCAACGACAACGAAACCAUCUAAACACUAGCUUCUUUUUUUUUUUGCGGGAAGCAUCUAAAUACUGGCUGAGCAAGUGGGAUCGGCAACAAUUCCAUGGAUCCACUAGACUAGCCGCUCCUCUCCCGCCAUAAUACAGGCAGCCGCAGGAGCCAGCAGAACUUGCUCCACAACAGACAUCUAAACAAACUGUACAACGCAUGGAGAGAACCGCUCCCCGUCCCACCAGGGAACCGGUGACAUGGCCACAGAAGAAACCAGAGGUGUGCUCUCUCCCUGUGGAUCAUCGUUGGGUAGAGCACUAGAGCGGUGUUCCGGUCUAGCGGCCAUAUG